GAGUUUGAUCCUGGCUCAGGACGAACGCUGGCGGCGUGCUUAACACAUGCAAGUCGAGGGCGGGGGGUAGCAAUACCUUCUGACCGGCAGACGGGUGCGUAACACGUGAGCGACCUACCGAGAUGUGGGGGAUAGCCGGCCCAACGGCCGGGUAAUACCGCGUACGUUCAUCGGGCUGCAUGGUCUGGUGAGGAAACCUGGGGAGUGAUCCUUGGGGCAUUUCGUGGGGCUCGCGGCCUAUCAGCUAGUUGGUGUGGUAACGGCGCACCAAGGCGACGACGGGUAGCUGGUCUGAGAGGAUGGCCAGCCACAUUGGGACUGAGAGACGGCCCACACUCCUACGGGAGGCAGCAGUGGGGAAUCUUGCGCAAUGGCCGAAAGGCUGACGCAGCGACGCCGCGUGUGGGAGGACGCCCUUCGGGGUGUAAACCACUGUUGCCCGGGACGAAUGGCUUGUUUAGGCGAGCUUGACGGUACCGGGUGAGGAAGCGCCGGCUAACUCCGUGCCAGCAGCCGCGGUAAUACGGAGGGCGCGAGCGUUGUCCGGAAUCACUGGGCGUAAAGGGCGCGUAGGCGGCUCGAUAAGGCUUGCGUGAAAGCCCGGGGCUCAACCCCGGGUCGGCGCGGGCGACUGUUGGGCUGGAGCACGGUAGGGGCAGACGGAAUUCCGGGUGUAGCGGUGGAAUGCGUAGAGAUCCGGAAGAACACCGGUGGCGAARGCGGUCUGCUGGGCCGGAAUGGGGGAGUUUGUUAACGCAAGCUCUCCCAGUGCUGACGCUGAGGCGGCGACAGCGUGGGGAGCAAACAGGAUUAGAUACCCUGGUAGUCCACGCCGUAAACGAUGGGCACUAGGUGCCCGGGGGAGCGACCCUCCGGGUGCCGGCGCUAACGCAUUAAGUGCCCCGCCUGGGGAGUACGGCCGCAAGGCUGAAACUCAAAGGAAUUGACGGGGGCCCGCACAAGCGGUGGAGCAUGUGGUUUAAUUCGACGCAACGCGAAGAACCUUACCUGGGCUUGACAUGCUGAGGCAACUCUUCUGAAAGGGAGAGCCUCCUUCGGGACCUCAGCACAGGUGCUGCAUGGCUGUCGUCAGCUCGUGUCGUGAGAUGUUGGGUUAAGUCCCGCAACGAGCGCAACCCCCGCCCCCAGUUGCCAGCGAGAGUCUUAAAACGCUCGUCGGGGACUCUGGGGGGACUGCCGGUGCCAAACCGGAGGAGGGUGGGGACGACGUCAAGUCAUCAUGGUCCUUACGUCCAGGGCCACACACGUGCUACAAUGGGCGGUACAGAGGGCCUGCGAGGCAGUGAUGCCGAGCCAAUCCCAGAAAGCCGCCCUCAGUGCGGAUCGGAGGCUGCAACUCGCCUCCGUGAAGCUGGAAUCGCUAGUAAUCGGGGAUCAGCCACGCCCCGGUGAAUACGUUCCCGGGCCUUGUACACACCGCCCGUCACGCCAUGGGAGCUGUGAGCGCCCGAAGUCGGUGUCGGAACCUGGGCAACCAGGGCUAAGCCGCCGAAGGCGAGCGCAGUGACUGGGGCGAAGUCGUAACAAGGUAGCCGUA
rnacentral:rRNA from 1 species